GACGAACGCUGGCGGCGUGCUUAACACAUGCAAGUCGAACGGAAAGGCCCUGCUUUUGUGGGGUGCUCGAGUGGCGAACGGGUGAGUAACACGUGAGUAACCUGCCCUUGACUUUGGGAUAACUUCAGGAAACUGGGGCUAAUACCGGAUAGGAGCCCCUGCUGAAUGGUGGGGGUUGGAAAGUUUCGGCGGUUGGGGAUGGACUCGCGGCUUAUCAGCUUGUUGGUGGGGUAGUGGCUUACCAAGGCUUUGACGGGUAGCCGGCCUGAGAGGGUGACCGGCCACAUUGGGACUGAGAUACGGCCCAGACUCCUACGGGAGGCAGCAGUGGGGAAUAUUGCACAAUGGGCGGAAGCCUGAUGCAGCAACGCCGCGUGCGGGAUGACGGCCUUCGGGUUGUAAACCGCUUUCGCCUGUGACGAAGCGUGAGUGACGGUAAUGGGUAAAGAAGCACCGGCUAACUACGUG
rnacentral:rRNA from 1 species